GAUCAUGGCUCAGGAUAAACGCUGGCGGCGCACAUAAGACAUGCAAGCCGAACGGACAAAACCUUAGUUUACUUUGGUAGAGGUUAGUGGCGGACUGGUGAGUAACACGUAAGCAACCUGCCUAUCAGAGGGGAACAACAGUUAGAAAUGACUGCUAAUACCGCAUAUGCCAUAAUCACCACAUGGUGAUAGUGGGAAAGGAGCAAUCCGCUGAUAGAUGGGCUUGCGUCUGAUUAGAUAGUUGGUGGGGUAACGGCCUACCAAGUCGACGAUCAGUAGCCGGACUGAGAGGUUGAACGGCCACAUUGGGACUGAGAUACGGCCCAGACUCCUACGGGAGGCAGCAGUCGGGAAUAUUGCGCAAUGGAGGAAACUCUGACGCAGUGACGCCGCGUGCAGGAAGAAGGUUUUCGGAUUGUAAACUGCUUUAGACAGGGAAGAUACAAGACAGUACCUGUAGAAUAAGCUCCGGCUAACUACGUG
rnacentral:rRNA from 1 species